UACCAUUAAGACACAGGCUCAAACCAGUCAAAACCAGUUUUUCCCGCCAAAACCAGCCCUCAGCGUUCCAUCUCCUCAGAACUUUUCCCGCCACAAAAGUGAUAUAAGGACGUGUUCAGUGUCUGCGCAGGGCUGUCCACCCCAGCGACAGCCCGUACACGGUCGGGUCUUCACAGUGCUGCCGAGCCGGAGAGUGAGGAACCCCCUCGGUCUCGUUGUGAGACUGAGGAAAACGAGGCCUGUCACCACCGUUCCUGCCGUCCUGAAUUCCCGGUGUCCACCAUCCCAGAGGGCCUCCCUGCCAGCGACGAAAUCCAACCGUCGUCUGGACUCCCCAGUGCUCCUCCUCAAAGGCUCUAAACCAGCCGGCGAGUGGAAGGUCCUGGGCAUCGCGCUGAAUGGAGAAACAAGAAUCGGCGCUCAGAGGGGCGGAGAAGGCCAGAGAGGCCAGGGCUGGGGCAGACAAUACGAGGAGGGAGAAAAGAACAAGGGAGUGAAUGAAGAUAAGAGGCAGAGACACUGAAGAUGUGUAUUUGAGAUCAUCUCCAGAAGGUUGGUAUAAUCACUGUCGGCAGAUGUCAGGGUGGCCUGCUAGGCGAAACGAUAGCAGAGAUGUCAGAACUCCGAAUAAAGAACUAUCCAUACCUGCCUGUUGGAGCAGAAGAGCAGCA